rnacentral:rRNA from 1 species
AACGAACGCUGGCGGCAUGUCUAACACAUGCAAGUCGAACGAGACCUUCGGGUCUAGUGGCGCACGGGUGCGUAACGCGUGGGAACCUGCCCUUAGGUUCGGAAUAACUCCCCGAAAGGGGUGCUAAUACCGGAUAAUGUCUUCGGACCAAAGAUUUAUCGCCUUUGGAUGGGCCCGCGUUGGAUUAGCUAGUUGGUAGGGUAAAAGCCUACCAAGGCGACGAUCCAUAGCUGGUCUGAGAGGAUGAUCAGCCACACUGGGACUGAGACACGGCCCAGACUCCUACGGGAGGCAGCAGUGGGGAAUAUUGGACAAUGGGCGAAAGCCUGAUCCAGCAAUGCCGCGUGAGUGAUGAAGGCCUUAGGGUUGUAAAGCUCUUUUACCCGGGAUGAUAAUGACAGUACCGGGAGAAUAAGCGCCGGCUAACUCCGUG